CGGGACACGUGGUAUCCUGUCUGAAUAUGGGGGGACCAUCCUCCAAGGCUAAAUACUCCUGACUGACCGAUAGUGAACCAGUACCGUGAGGGAAAGGCGAAAAGAACCCCGGCGAGGGGAGUGAAAAAGAACCUGAAACCGUGUACGUACAAGCAGUGGGAGCACGCUUAGGCGUGUGACUGCGUACCUUUUGUAUAAUGGGUCAGCGACUUAUAUUCUGUAGCAAGGUUAACCGAAUAGGGGAGCCGAAGGGAAACCGAGUCUUAACUGGGCGUUAAGUUGCAGGGUAUAGACCCGAAACCCGGUGAUCUAGCCAUGGGCAGGUUGAAGGUUGGGUAACACUAACUGGAGGACCGAACCGACUAAUGUUGAAAAAUUAGCGGAUGACUUGUGGCUGGGGGUGAAAGGCCAAUCAAACCGGGAGAUAGCUGGUUCUCCCCGAAAGCUAUUUAGGUAGCGCCUCGUGAAUUCAUCUCCGGGGGUAGAGCACUGUUUCGGCAAGGGGGUCAUCCCGACUUACCAACCCGAUGCAAACUGCGAAUACCGGAGAAUGUUAUCACGGGAGACACACGGCGGGUGCUAACGUCCGUCGUGAAGAGGGAAACAACCCAGACCGCCAGCUAAGGUCCCAAAGUCAUGGUUAAGUGGGAAACGAUGUGGGAAGGCCCAGACAGCCAGGAUGUUGGCUUAGAAGCAGCCAUCAUUUAAAGAAAGCGUAAUAGCUCACUGGUCGAGUCGGCCUGCGCGGAAGAUGUAACGGGGCUAAACCAUGCACCGAAGCUGCGGCAGCGACGCUGAUGCGUUGUUGGGUAGGGGAGCGUUCUGUAAGCCUGUGAAGGUGUGCUGUGAGGCAUGCUGGAGGUAUCAGAAGUGCGAAUGCUGACAUAAGUAACGAUAAAGCGGGUGAAAAGCCCGCUCGCCGGAAGACCAAGGGUUCCUGUCCAACGUUAAUCGGGGCAGGGUGAGUCGACCCCUAAGGCGAGGCCGAAAGGCGUAGUCGAUGGGAAACAGGUUAAUAUUCCUGUACUUGGUGUUACUGCGAAGGGGGGACGGAGAAGGCUAUGUUGGCCGGGCGACGGUUGUCCCGGUUUAAGCGUGUAGGCUGGUUUUCCAGGCAAAUCCGGAAAAUCAAGGCUGAGGCGUGAUGACGAGGCACUACGGUGCUGAAGCAACAAAUGCCCUGCUUCCAGGAAAAGCCUCUAAGCAUCAGGUAACAUCAAAUCGUACCCCAAACCGACACAGGUGGUCAGGUAGAGAAUACCAAGGCGCUUGAGAGAACUCGGGUGAAGGAACUAGGCAAAAUGGUGCCGUAACUUCGGGAGAAGGCACGCUGAUAUGUAGGUGAAGCGACUUGCUCGUGGAGCUGAAAUCAGUCGAAGAUACCAGCUGGCUGCAACUGUUUAUUAAAAACACAGCACUGUGCAAACACGAAAGUGGACGUAUACGGUGUGACGCCUGCCCGGUGCCGGAAGGUUAAUUGAUGGGGUCAGCGCAAGCGAAGCUCUUGAUCGAAGCCCCGGUAAACGGCGGCCGUAACUAUAACGGUCCUAAGGUAGCGAAAUUCCUUGUCGGGUAAGUUCCGACCUGCACGAAUGGCGUAAUGAUGGCCAGGCUGUCUCCACCCGAGACUCAGUGAAAUUGAACUCGCUGUGAAGAUGCAGUGUACCCGCGGCAAGACGGAAAGACCCCGUGAACCUUUACUAUAGCUUGACACUGAACAUUGAGCCUUGAUGUGUAGGAUAGGUGGGAGGCUUUGAAGUGUGGACGCCAGUCUGCAUGGAGCCGGCCUUGAAAUACCACCCUUUAAUGUUUGAUGUUCUAACGUUGACCCGUGAUCCGGGUUGCGGACAGUGUCUGGUGG
rnacentral:rRNA from 1 species